GUGGGGAAUAUUGGACAAUGGGCGAAAGCCUGAUCCAGCCAUGCCGCGUGUGUGAAGAAGGUCUUCGGAUUGUAAAGCACUUUAAGUUGGGAGGAAGGGCAGUAAGUUAAUACCUUGCUGUUUUGACGUUACCGACAGAAUAAGCACCGGCUAACUUCGUGCCAGCAGCCGCGGUAAUACGAAGGGUGCAAGCGUUAAUCGGAAUUACUGGGCGUAAAGCGCGCGUAGGUGGUUUUGUAAGUUGGAGGUGAAAUCCCCGGGCUCAACCUGGGAACUGCCUCCAAAACUACUGAGUUAGAGUACGGUAGAGGGUAGUGGAAUUUCCUGUGUAGCGGUGAAAUGCGUAGAUAUAGGAAGGAACACCAGUGGCGAAGGCGACUACCUGGACUGAUACUGACACUGAGGUGCGAAAGCGUGGGGAGCAAACAGGAUUAGAAACCCGAGUAGUCC
rnacentral:rRNA from 1 species